rnacentral:rRNA from 1 species
CAGCAGCCGCGGGAACACGGAGGGGGCUAGCGUUGUUCGGAAUUACUGGGCGUAAAGCGCACGUAGGCGGCUUGGUAAGUUAGAGGUGAAAGCCCGGAGCUCAACUCCGGAAUUGCCUUUAAGACUGCCGAGCUAGCAGGUGAGAGAGGUAAGUGGAAUUCCGAGUGUAGAGGUGAAAUUCGUAGAUAUUCGGAAGAACACCAGUGGCGAAGGCGGCUUACUGGCUCAUACUGGACGCUGAGGUGCGAAAGCGUGGGGAGCAAACAGGAUUAGAUACCCGCGUAGUCCCUGUCUCUUAUAC